ACAAUGAAACUUCCGUAAAUCCCCGGCCCGGCCAAUAAAGAAGCCGGGGUGGCUGAAAAGCCAAUGA
rnacentral:ncRNA from 1 species